GCCUGCUUUUCCGCGAAUUUCGCUCUCGCUGGCCGAAUGCUAUAAUUUCCCAGCGGCACUCAUUGACUCGGCGACUCUGCGGCGUUGCUGUUGGACAGUGUUUUGGGGUCAUGCGUUGCAAGGCCCCGAACAACAUUCAUAAAUCAUUUGCAGAGGUGGAGGCGAGCAGACUGCUGUUGUUUUUCUACUCAUCGUUAUCACUGGCAAGCUGCAAUCGACAGACCUACAGAAAAAAAAAACAAAAAAAAAAAAAAAAGAGCAGAGAAACCCCUUUUUCGAUGCCCCCGGCAUCGUUGCACCGAAAACACAUUAAUCAAUUCCGACCGACUGGCGGGCCAGACCUCCAUGCAUAUAUCCAUUGUGUAGAGUGGAUCGUGGAAAAGUCGGAAAACAAGGACAAAAUGAAACCGUUACACGCUCAGCGAGCGCAACAACACGAAAAAGCAGACAAAAAAAAAAAAAGGAAAAAACCCUCGUAACUUUCCAUAAUGUGCAACGCGCGUGAAAAUUCGUCCUUAGCUCGGCGUGAAAAAUAUGCGAACACAACAGUAAUGACAUUGAAAUGGCGCCAGAAAUACAAAAGCAGAAAAAGGCCAAAGAAACUGAAACAACGAAUAAUUGCAACAAACACUGCCCCAGCAAUACAUAAAACAGCAACAACAAAAGAAACCAGCAGACUGAGAGAAACGAGGUGCAAACUGAGGCGCCACAGCAAAUGGCUGCCAAAUGAGCGACACAGAAAUGUGGCUAAAAUGCUGCAAGUGUUGCAGGCGACGACAAAUCCAACACAAUGUCGUGCAAUUAAAGCAACAGGAACAGCAGCAACAUCCACAAUGACUUCCAGCUGCAGCGGCCUUUGUCACUCGCAAUCGCAGCAACAGCAGCAGCAACAGCAGCAGCAGCAGCACAAACAGCAGUUGCAGCAACCGAAACAGCAGCAGCAUCAGCAAUUGCAGCUGCAGAAACUUCAGCAGCGGCGACAUCCACUUCCGGCGACUCUGACGCUGCUCCUCUGCCUGGGAAUCAGUUUGGGAAUGGCCGCCACUGCAGCAGCUGCCGCUGGAGGAGGCGGAGGAGCUGCCCCCGUUUCCGGAUCCGGAACAGCUGGCUCCCCAUCCAUCGCCAGCUCCGGCUCCUUGGGUCCCGGCAAACCCGCCAAUUUGCAACUGGCCUCGGGAUUAUCCAAUGCGGGCUGCUCCCUCGCCGAGUUUAGCUGCUCGAACGGAAAGUGCGUGCCACUCAGCAAGUAUUGCAACAACCUAAACGACUGCGGCGACGGCAGCGAUGAGCCGCGUUUUUGCACACGCUGUAAUCGCACCUACUACGGGGACAUCGGACAGACCUACGCCCUCGAGUUGCACCGCCCCAAACAGGAUCGCGUGCCCUUUGUGUGUGUGCUCACGUUCACGGCGGCGGGUGGCCAACACGGCGAUGUGGUGCAGGUCACCUUGGAUAGCUUCACGAUUGGCAGAUUCACCUCGUACGUUCACGAGGGCUGUCCAGAUGGAUACAUGCAGAUUGCGGAGUCGGCUCGAACGCCAAUUGGAGGCAUGUGGUGCGGCACCUCCUGGGGCCCAGUGCUCUUCUACAGCGAGACGCGCUCCCUCAUAUUCACCAUCCGACUGAACAGACUGGCGAGAGAUCAGAACGGUUACAACUUCGACUUCCGCAUCAGAUACAAGGUCCUCUCGAGGGACAGUUCGGUAACCCGCUACGGGGGCAUUAAGCUGGCAGAACUGGCCCAGUGGCACAACCGCAGCAGCUUCCUCAACCAGCAGCAACAACAGCAGCAGCAGCAGCAACAAGGCGCCGGCUUCCUGGAGGACUUCACCAACUCCAGUGGCGCUCGUUCUGACCGUUAUGGCCAGGACUUCAGUCUUUUCAGCGCUUAUGCCAACAACAAGACCUUCAUGGCCUCGCUGGAAAAGUCACUGGCCAAGGACGAGCAAAACUACACGGAGCCGAAAUACUAUUUGGGUGACCUUAUACCCGGAACGUACUGCUCGAGGAUCUUCAGCGACUGCGACAAAAAGCCGUGUCGCCUGCAGUCGCCCAACUUUCCCGGCAUCUAUCCCCGCAAUCUCACCUGCUACUAUGCAGUGCGCCAGCACGACGUGCCCCAUGGCAAACACGCCCUGAUUCUAGUCAAACAGCCCAAGGGCAAUCUGGUCUGGAUUUCCACCCAGGAAACGGCCACCGUGAACAAAAUGGCACCGCCGCCGAGUGCCAGCGACAAGGACAAGAAAUUCGAGCCGAGGCUGAAAACAUGGAAUGACUGCGAUUACAUUCAGGAAAAUGUAAAGCCCAAAUGGAAAUCCACGGACUACGUGACCGUGUACGACGGCUACACCACACGUGACCCCAUCAUACUGAAGUUCUGUGGCGGCGGUCAAGCGGUGCCGGCGGCUGUUUCCAGCGGCCCGGAGCUUCUGGUCGAGUUCAGCACGUCGCCGUUUGGCACCUUCACCGGCACCUCGUCGCAGGUCCUGCCGCUCUACGGAUUCCAGCUGGAGGUUGAAGUUCAAUUCGUGGACAUCCAGAGUCCCACGUACUCGAAGAACAAGAAACCCUGCGAGUUUUGGAUCCGCGGAGCAGGACGUGGCAUCCUGGAGAGUCCCAGGCACUCGCUGGCUCCGAACUCGACGUGCCUUUACCAUCUGCAGGGACUGGGUGUCUUCAAGACCUUUGACCACCUGAGUCUGUCGCGCAGGACGAACAGCCAGUCGGGAAUGCAUCAGCCACUUUCCCGUUUCAAGGUUUGGAUUUCCGUUCUGAAGUUCAACUUGGAUCCGGAGUUCGGCCAAAUAGAUGAGACGUCGGUGGGGGCGAUUGGAGUGCUGCAAACGCAGGAGGAUUGCAGCGGAAUGUUGCGCAUAUGGGAUGGCACUCUAAGGGAUGCGCCCGUUUGCAAGGAUCUUAACUGUGCCAGCGAGACGAGUAGCUAUAAUACUUUGGGUCACUAUGCUCAGAACUCCACCAAUGUGAUUGCCAGAUUUUGCAGGGGAACAAUACCACGCACCUGCGAUAGGUCCAAUAUAAAUGAGACCUACGCAAGACCCUGUACGAUUUCAGAGAGUUAUGUAUCCAGCACAGAUGCCAUAACACUCGAGCUGCGCAACACCGAAUCCACUGUGCUAAGACCCCUGGAUUUCAAGCUGAAGUACGAAUUUAUUGACCUCCACCAAGAUGGUUUGCCUUGGGGAGGCGGCGAACACGAUUGCAAUCGAAAGUUUCUCAGUAGCAUGAUGGAUCGCAAGGAUCCAGCGAUUUUCCGCAGUGUGCGAAACAUCUUUCUUUUUGGAAGAGGAGGCACCAGGAACCUGAAGUGCAUCUACAAAUUUGAGGCUCAGCGAGGAGAGAGGGUCAGGAUCAAGAUGAGAAAAGUGACAACUACUAAUAGGCCCUGCUAUUCCCGUGUGGAUGAGGAUAUUAACAGAUCUUUUUGCUAUGGGGAUACCAAUGUUAGAAUUGAGAUCUUUGAGCGACCCUAUCAUGACUCUAUUUUACUGCAUCGUGGCUGCAUGUGCAACUCCUCCAACCAAUCCCACCUGCCUGUGGAAUACACUUCCACGAGUCGCGAUGUGGAGGUGCACUUCAUUGCCCAGAACAUGACCACCUUGGAUGACCCGGAUACGGUUAACUUCGAGGGCAUGUUUGAGUUUGUCAAGGCUCCAACGAGCUGCAAGGAUGGACGUCGCAAAUUCGGACCCAGUGGCACCAUCGAUAUGACCUUCGGGGAUGUGGAGUGCCGUUCCAGACCCUGGCUUAUUGAGCCUUCUAAUGGCAAUAAAUUCUUGUAUGUGAGGCUAAAGGCUAUAUUCUUGAGCAAACACAACCCCACGAAGACUUUGAAUACCACUUAUGUUCAGACGGACACAUGGAGAUGUGAAACCAAGUCAAGGGCUGUGUUAACCACCUCAGAGGGUCUAACCAUUGUGGCCUGUCCACUGAGUCCCGACUCGAGUGCCUACGAAUUUGUGGAGAUCUUCAGUUCCGGUUGGAAUGAAAGACCCAACUUUGCGCUGGUCAAUCGAUCCCGGGCCAUCAGCGUGGAGUUCCUGCGUCCUGGCAAUGGCGAGUACUCCUUCAAUUGGAUGGAAUUGAUACCCAGGCCUACACUGAGCAUGGCGGAGGACUGUCAAUUUAAGUGUGCCGAACUGGGUGCCUGUGUGAAUGCCAGUGUUUGGUGCGAUGGCGUGGUCCAUUGUCCUUCCGGCGAUGAUGAGACCUUCCUGCAGUGCUCGGCCUUGAUGAAACUGCCCGCCGAGAUCCUGGCCACUCUCUGCCUGAUAUUUGUGCUCUCGUGUUGUGCUUUCGCUGCCUUUGCCUACAAGAAAAUCAAACGCAAGCUGCGCGGCUCGUCGGUGCUGCAGACGCGACUCAAAUCGCUCAGCUCGAUGGACACGGCCGUGUUGGAUGAAAAGGAGGUGAUUUGCUGACAAAGCGACAAUUCUGUGCGUUACGUGGAGAUCGACCGUGUGACCACGGUCUGAUGCUCGACGGCCAGUAACGUGCAGAAUUGUGCCCCGGAACAGAAACCAGAAUCGCCACCACAAGCCAACCAAAUGAAACAGAAACCACAAUUACAACUGACGCGAAUGCGAAACGCAACAAUGAAACGAUCAAAAGAAAAGGCAACUCUUUUUCGCAAUCAAAACCAAAAGCCAGAAUCAAAAUCAAAAUCGUUCACCUGUUUUUUAAACUGCAUUUAUAUGAGAGCGAAUCCGAUUACAGAUCGCAGGAUUUCGUUGAUUCUAUUUGUAUUAACCUCUAUUUUAUAGAUCGCAAGACUCGGCUGACUCGUGUUCUUUUUUUGAGUGUCGCGCAAUUUUAUAAGCAAUUUUCUAGGCCUAGGGAUUUUUUUCGUAUGUAUUUUCGAUAUGAUUUCCCAACAUGACCCUUACAAAUGGAAAACACACACACACUGUACAUACUAACGAUUGCGUAACACAAAAUGACGAGGACCAGAAAUCGGACAGAUCUGACCAGUUAAUACUUCCACUAGGUUUUGUGUCUUCAGUUCUUGCAGAGUACUCAUAGACCUAUGUAGAUACAACUGUUUCCUAAUAGCCUUUAAGUGGAUCGUACUAUGCUAAUCAAACCGACUAAACGAGUUCAGAGAUGGGGAUGGGUUAGUUUUUUUGGGGAAUGUUUCAGAAACUCCCACAGCAUUUAUUAUGCGGCGCACAAAACCAAAACAAAACAAAAACAAAAGAAACAAAACGUAAUGAAACCAAAUAAAAUAAAUAGUAAAAUCCAAAGGAGCAAGCGGAUUGAAGGGAGAAUAAUCGACAAUUCCAAGAGUAGAUCAAAAAACCCGUCGUUGAGACCAAGAUCUAAGGCUCGGGGAUCAAAAGCAAAGCAAAAUGCCCGGCCUGGCCAAAAAGGAGGGAGCAGGGAUCAGGGACUCCG